rnacentral:snRNA from 1 species
UUGCUGUGGCAGCACAUAUGUGAAAUUUGGAACAAUACAGAGAUUAGCACAGCCCCUGUGCAAGGAUGACACGCAAAUUCAUGAAGCGCUCCCCAAAAAA